rfam:Plasmodium falciparum 3D7 chromosome 6
UUUAAGGCUUCACUAGAAGCCAUUAUAUAUAAUAUACACAUAUAUAU